CAGUAGCCACGGUAAUACGUAGGUGGCAAGCGUUGUCCGGAUUUAUUGGGCGUAAAGCGAGCGCAGGCAGUCAAUUAAGUCUGAUGUGAAAGCCCCCGGCUCAACCGGGGAGGGUCAUUGGAAACUGGUUGACUUGAGUGCAGAAGAGGAGAGUGGAAUUCCAUGUGUAGCGGUGAAAUGCGUAGAUAUAUGGAGGAACACCGGUGGCGAAAGCGGCUCUCUGGUCUGUCACUGACGCUGAGGCUCGAAAGCGUGGGUAGCGAACAGGAUUAGAUACCCCCGUAGUCCCUGUCUCUUAUAC
rnacentral:rRNA from 1 species